rnacentral:sRNA from 1 species
AUUUUAGUAAAUAAUCGUGUAGUUAAUGUGGAGAGAUUUUGGGAAGAUUGUUAAAUGUCAAAUAUUUAAUUCGAAGAUUUUAUUUUUAAUUAUCAAAAACAAACAUUAAAAUCCAGUGGCAGCCAUUGUAAAUAAGUCCCAACUACAGGAUUUAUUUCACAAAAUGGCUGCAAAAAUGUAUAUAUAGAUUAGAUUCAUCUUGGCUCCAGAUGACAAUUAAACAUUUCUU